rnacentral:rRNA from 1 species
AGUGAACGCUGGCGGUAGGCCUAACACAUGCAAGUCGAACGGCCGCACAGUAAGAGCUUGCUCUUACGGGUGGCGAGUGGCGGACGGAUGAGGCAUACAUCGGAAUCUACUUUUUCGUGGGGGAUAACGUAGGGAAACUUACGCUAAUACCUCAUACGACCUACGGGUGAAAGCAGGGGAUCUUCGGACCUUGCGCGAUUGAAUGAGCCGAUGUCGGAUUAGCUAGUUGGCGUGGUAAAGGCCCACCAAGGCGACGAUCCGUAGCUGGUCUGAGAGGAUGAUCCGCCACACUGGAACUGAGACACGGUCCAGACUCCUACGGGAGGCAGCAGUGGGGAAUAUUGGACAAUGGGCGAAAGCCUGAUCCAGCCAUACCGCGUGGGUGAAGAAGGUCUUCGGGUUGUAAAGCCCUUUUGUUGGGAAAGAAAAGCAGCAGGUUAAUACCCCGCUGUUCUGACGGUACCCAAAGAAUAAGCACCGGCUAACUUCGUG